rnacentral:rRNA from 1 species
UACGUAGGGUGCGAGCGUUAAUCGGAAUUACUGGGCGUAAAGCGUGCGCAGGCGGUUCGUUGUGUCGGCGGUGAAAGCCCCGGGCUCAACCUGGGAACGGCCGUUGAAACUGGCGAACUGGAGUGUGGCAGAGGGGGGUGGAAUUCCGCGUGUAGCAGUGAAAUGCGUAGAGAUGCGGAGGAACACCGAUGGCGAAGGCAGCCCCCUGGGCUGACACUGACGCUCAGGCACGAAAGCGUGGGGAGCAAACAGG